rnacentral:misc_RNA from 1 species
GACGGAUUGAAUUUAGGGAUAAUACUGUCAUAAUGCCCUAAGUUCAGGGACCAUGAUGACAUUUAGCCCCGAUCGAAUCGUCAUUAAUUCGCAUAAGCUCCCGGCCAGCUGGUGACUGCUACGGCCAUACGAACAGCCAGCGAUGGAAGGAGAAACGGCGACAUCACCACCAACAGAUCUCUCCAACCCAACCAAACCCCUAGACCACUCCCUUCAAAAAAGGCACCAAGCAAUGCUCGAUCGCCUCUCUAACCGCCAUCAAACCCUCACCAAAUCAUCCUCCUCCUCCUCUGCUACCGAAUCCACCGCUGCUUUCCUUUCCAAAUUAUCCGAUUCCAGAAACUCAAUUGAGUUCCAACUUUCCGAAUCAUCGAAACUCGCCGCCACCGAUAUCAAACUCCUAAAAUCUCAUCUCGUCGAUAUUUCCUCCUCCAUUUCGGCUCUUGAACAACUUGUCGCCGAAAACUCCUACUUACUUCCCUCCUACGAACUUCGUUCCUCUCUCAAAGCCGUCUCGGAACUUAAGCAGUCUCUCGAUAGUCUGAACGCCGAGCUUGUCCCCAAGAAGAAAUUCUCCUUCAAAAACAAAUCUACAAGCAAAUCUUCACUCUCUGAACCUAAAGAAACCGAAAUCACAAAACCCGAAGUACCAAAACCAGCGUUUGCAAUUAGGGAUUUGCCAGGAAUUAGAAACAAAGAAAAUGGGAUAUUAACAAAAAAUUUCAGAAGCUCAGAGACCGGUGAAUUUAUCUUAUCGGAUCUGGAUUCAUGUGAAGUGAGGUUGAUAGGUUGCGUUAAUGCAUUUUUCAUUAAUCGAUUAAGGAAUUGCAGAGUUUAUGCGGGGCCAGUGAUGGGUUCAAUUUUGAUUGAGGAAGUUGAGAACUGCGUGUUUGUGUUGGCUUCACAUCAGAUAAGGAUACAUUACGCGAAAGGAAGUGAUUUUUAUCUGAGAGUGAGGAGUAGGCCUAUAAUUGAGGAUUGUGAAGGCGUUAGAUUCGCGCCUUACCGUUUGAGCUAUGAAGGGAUUGAGGACGAUAUGAGGAAGGCAGGCUUGGCGGAGGACACUGGGAAUUGGAGCAACGUGGACGAUUUCAAGUGGCUGAGGGCUGUGCAGUCGCCCAAUUGGUCUGUUUUGCCGGAAAGUGAGAGGGUCGGGGUAAUUGAGCUCAAGGAUUUGGGAAGCAUGAGUGGAGCGAGUUAGGGUUUAUGGGACCGUGAAGUCUUGUUUAGAUAUGCGAAUUCCAGUGCAGGGAAAUUCUUUUAUAAGCAUCCUACAAAUCUUAGUAAGAUUUACUCUGAAGAUAGGCAUUUUGUCUGUUCUUGAGCGCAUGCAUCUCUUCUGCCUUAUUUUCUAACUGUUCUGGUGCUUGCUAGACUGUUGAUUUUAUUUUAUGGACAAAAUAUGGAACCUUAAGUUGGUAAUCACAUGCGUAGUAGUUCAGACCCAUUGACCGUUUGAGGACACCUCUUCCGACUUUAUUGUUGGCCGUUGUUCAAUUGGAUGGAAUCUUGCCAGUUUUACCACAAUCAUUCCAACUAAAAAAUGGUAGUCAGAAGGUGGGUAAUUUCCUUUGUUAGUUUAGAUUAUAUCCAAAUUUAGUCUUAUUUAGGGCGAAAUCAAAGAUUCGUUUGAAGGUUUCAACUUAGCACCUACUGGAAUUUAGUGCAAAGUGGUUUAUUAAUAUAUUGUAUCAUAUUGUAUGAUGUAAUACAUGAUGAUUUUGUCUAGAUGGUAUAGUAUGGUAAAUAAAUAUAAAGAUUAUUAAAAUACCUUUUACUACUAUUUUAAAUAUAUAAAUGAUUUAAAAAAGCUUAUUUAAAUAAACUAUUAAUUUAUAAAUAAUGUUAUUACAAUAAUAAUCGAAGACACAUUUUUUUUAAUUUAUAACUUAAUGUACCUUGUAAAUAUAUACAUUUCCAUGAAAGAAUGAAUUUUGUGAGAAUAAAAUGGGAGUGCAAAAAUUUUAAACCAUUCUAAAUCUCCAAUUUAGGGAUAAAAGCUGUGGUAAAAUGAUAGUUUGUAAAUUAUUAUUUUAUCACUCAAGACUAUCAUUUUUUAUAAAUAAUCUUUCCAAACAUGUAGAGUAAUUAUAUCCUACAAUAUGAAACCAUCAUAAAUCAUGAUCCAAACAUAGUGGCAGGAAAUCGGAAAUCGUCUCAUUCGGAUUUGGUAAGUGUUAUUGCUCUAUCAAUAUUGUAAAAGUUGGGUUGGCAUUGGAACAUUUUCAGCAAUUCUCAGUCAUAAAAGGUUGUUGUUUUUAUUUCUUUAUGUUUUUUCCCUUCCAUCUAGCACCUAUUAAAUUUAAAAGUCAUGCCAUGGAAUCCUGCACAGAUUUUUCCAACUUUCCAGCUGUUGUGUGUUCGUUAUGAACUUUCACUUAAAAAUCUACAUAUUGACUCAUUUUUCAAUAUUGCAGUUUGGAUUUCUAUAUAUGUAUUCAUCAAAUUUCUGCCGCACGUUACAUUCACACUGAAGUAAUAUUUUCCAUACUCCUGGUAUUACAUUCAUCAUACUUCACUAAAUAAAAGUUUAGUGGGUUUGUUUAGGAGUUAGGACCCACAAUUUGAUCUUCAACUUUAUGUUAGGGAGGCAGGAUUUCAUCAUUUCACAUUUGCAUGGUUACUCUGAGCAAAUUUUAUAUUUAAAUUUAGAGAAAUUUUUAGAUAAAAAUCUGUAUAUUUUGGUGUGAGAGCAUGAAACAGUUGAGAUUGUGUUGAAAUCUUUGGCAAUUUCUCCUCGUUGCAGAAAAGUUUGUGGUUCUAUUUAUACUUACCAACUCCCAUUACUGAUCUACAGUUUUGCACACAGCAUUCUUUUUCAAGCUUUGACUUGAUUCUCUUUGAUUAUGUCUAAUCAGUUUAUAUGCUUAAUUAAUUGUGAUUUGUGAACAGAUCUUGAUGAUAUAAUACUUUCCAUCUCCAUCUCUAACCAUGUGAACUACUUUGCCUGCUCCAUUAUUUGAAAUUUUGACUUGAUUCUCUUACUCUUCUCCCCACAUUGAAAAUAUUUAUCCACAGGCGUGGAUUUGCCUCUCUCAAAAUUGGUUCUUUUCAGGAAACGCAAUCACGUCUUUUGGUUAUAAAUGUUUUUAUUGAUCAAUUUCUGCCCGUAUUCUCUUCUGAUAUCCAAUUGAGUGGUACAGAGAGCAAGAUAAUUGCCAAGGUAUGUAUUUGCUGUCAUUUCAUUGGUGUUAGUCAUUCAGUGCCUGUAAAUUAGUAUUUUGAUAAUGGAAAUGCUGCAAGAUUCAAGUGAUGGACAAUUUUCUUACUUUCUUUUCCAAGUUUAUUUCCUAUAUGCACGGUUGUUCUACAUUUUAUUUACGUUGAUUAUUAUUUUGACAUCAAGCAGAUUAGCUUGUUUCCACACAAGCAAUUGAAUCUAUGUUUUUCUCCUUGGAUGAGUAAUACAGAGAGUCUGAGAAGUUUGAACUCCUUUUUCCUUUCCGUAAGCCUUCAUGCUAGUCUAUGGGAUUGGGGAUUGGGGAUUGAGAACUUGAGAGAUAAAGAUCCAAAUAGUCGCACUUGGAUGGUAAGGUACUGAGGAUUUUUGGCAGCUGAGCAAUUGGGCCCUCAUGUGAACAUCUGUCUUGAUUCUGAGCUGGGUUUCGAUAGACCCUACUAAGGAUUCUGGCCCAUAAAGAGUCUUUUUGUUAAUUUAUAUCUGGGAGGGUUUGGGUACUUGGGUUCAGGAUUUGAUAUUUUAGUUGGUUUUUGGAUUCUAAGAUAGUGAGGUUGAAACCAGAAACUAGACCAUAUAAAAUUCCUUGCCGCCAUUAAAUACGCCUUAAUUUUUGCAAAUUUUGAAUUUUUUUAUCCAUGUAUAAGCUAAUGAAGAUGGAUUUUGUUCAUUCCCAAUUUUUUUUUUUG